CAGACUCCUACGGGAGGCAGCAGUGGGGAAUUUUCCGCAAUGGGCGAAAGCCUGACGGAGCAAGACCGCGUGAGGGAGGAAGGCUCUUGGGUUGUAAACCUCUUUUCUCAGGGAAGAAGCUCUGACGGUACCUGAGGAAUCAGCCUCGGCUAACUCCGUGCCAGCAGCCGCGGUAAUACGGAGGAGGCAAGCGUUAUCCGGAAUUAUUGGGCGUAAAGCGUCCGCAGGUGGCGAUUCAAGUCUGCUGUCAAAGCACGGGGCUUAACUCCGUUAAGGCAGUGGAAACUGAAUAGCUAGAGUGCCGUAGGGGUAGAGGGAAUUCCCGGUGUAGCGGUGAAAUGCGUAGAGAUCGGGAAGAACAUCGGUGGCGAAAGCGCUCUACUGGACGGCAACUGACACUCAGGGACGAAAGCUAGGGGAGCGAAUGGGAUUAGAUACCCCAGUAGUCCUAGCUGUAAACGAUGGAUACUAGGUGUAGCUUGUAUCGACCCGAGCUGUGCCGAAGCUAACGCGUUAAGUAUCCCGCCUGGGGAGUACGCACGCAAGUGUGAAACUCAAAGGAGUUGACGGGGGCCCGCACAAGCGGUGGAGUAUGUGGUUUAAUUCGAUGCAACGCGAAGAACCUUACCAGGGCUUGACAUGUCCGGAAUCCCGGUGAAAGCUGGGAGUGCCUUCGGGAGCCGGAACACAGGUGGUGCAUGGCUGUCGUCAGCUCGUGUCGUGAGAUGUUGGGUUAAGUCCCGCAACGAGCGCAACCCUCGUCUUUAGUUGCCAGCAUUAAGUUGGGCACUCUAGAGAGACUGCCGGUGACAAACCGGAGGAAGGUGGGGAUGACGUCAAGUCAGCAUGCCCCUUACGCUCUGGGCGACACACGUACUACAAUGGUCGGGACAGAGGGCAGCGAACCUGCGAAGGCAAGCUAAUCCCAGCAAACUCGGCCUCAGUUCAGAUCGCAGGCUGCAACUCGCCUGCGUGAAGGAGGAAUCGCUAGUAAUCGCCGGUCAGAAUACGGCGGUGAAUCCGUUCCCGGGCCUUGUACACACCGCCCGUCACACCAUGGAAGCUGGCCACGCCCGAAGUCGUUACCCUAACCUUUCGGGGAAG
rnacentral:rRNA from 1 species